rnacentral:rRNA from 1 species
ACUCAAAUGAAUUGACGGGGACCCGCACAAGCAGUGGAGUAUGUGGUUUAAUUCGAAGCAACGCGAAGAACCUUACCAGGUCUUGACAUCGGGAUGAAAGCCUUAGAGAUAAGGUCCUCCUUCGGGACAUCCCAGACAGGUGGUGCAUGGUUGUCGUCAGCUCGUGUCGUGAGAUGUUGGGUUAAGUCCCGCAACGAGCGCAACCCUUGAUCUUAGUUGCCAGCAUGUAAAGAUGGGCCCUCUAAGAUGACUGCCGGUGACAAACCGGAGGAAGGUGGGGAUGACGUCAAAUCAUCAUGCCCCUUAUGACCUGGGCUACACACGUACUACAAUGGCCGGUACAACGGGCAGCGAAGGAGCGAUCUGGAGCAAAUCCUUAGAAGCCGGUCUCAGUUCGGAUUGCAGGCUGCAACCCGCCUGCAUGAAGUCGGAAUUGCUAGUAAUCGCGGAUCAGCAUGCCGCGGUGAAUACGUUCCCGGGUCUUGUACACACCGCCCGU